AGGGAUCUAAAAGGCAAACCAAUGUAUUGAGUACAGUACUACUGAGUGGGGAUGUGAAAGCAGAAAUACGUAAGGUGACAAAUUGGAGAAUACAAGGUUUGUAGUUGGCUCUGCAUAACUUCACAUCCACUGUCAAAAUCAUACAAAUUUUUCAUUAUCAUUACAAAAUCAUGAACAAAUUAAAUAGUGUAUUAAAAUUGGGGAAUACGAUAAAAAAUGUAAAUUGCAACACAAUUUCUAUCAAAUCAAGCGAUUUUUGGAAAACAUAUAUUCGAGGUGCAAGUAUGUCAUCUGGGAUUAAGAGGGUCGCAAUUAAUAAGAAAUCUACAAGAUAUACCAGUAAAAGGUUCACACGUUGCGUGGAAUGUCAACCUCGAUGCGCAUCUAAGAGACAAAAAGCAGUCGAAGACGCGAGCAAUGUCAUUAAUGAUGAAUGUAAGCCAACUCCGGUCCCAAAGAAAAUUGAUGAAUGUGAAAUUAAAAUUGCGAAAUCUUGCACGCCAAAUCCAUGUGAAUUUGUUUGUUCUGGCGUGCUAGUGAAAGACACAAGUCAGUGUCCUGAGGAACCAAUAGCACAGGUGCCAAAAGGAAACUGGAGCAAACGCAAUCCCUAAUAUUUCCAUUUUAAACCUUUAAAAAAAUUGCAAAACAAAUCCAUUUUUCAAAAUAAAAAAGUAUAAUGCAAUAAA